rnacentral:misc_RNA from 1 species
AACGCACAUUGCGCCCCUUGGUAUUCCGGGGGGCACACCUGUUCGAGCGUCAUUACACCAAUCAAGCCUUGCUUGGUAUUGGGUCUAGUCCCUAUUUUUAGGGACUGACUUUAAAAUCUUUGGCGGCGUAGUCCGGCUUCAGGCGUAGCAGAAAUUACUCGUCUAUGGGGUCCAGAUUAUGUCUUGUCCAUAAAUUUUUUAAUUUUUCAAAGGUUGACCUCGGAUCAGGUGGGGAUACCCGCUGAACUUAA